CAGGAGUUGACCUUGCAAUUCCCACCAGCAAAACAUUCAUGGCGGAAGCUUACAUCGGAGUUGGCGGAAAGUUCAUAGCAAAUGAAUAUAUAUAUAUAUAUAUAUAUAUUUCAAUUGUUUCUCAAAAUAAUCGAAUCCCCCCUAAACUUUUCUUUAUUUUUCAGCCCACGCUGAACCAAAACUAUCGAAUUAUUGAUCGUGUCAUAAAGACAUUUAUGUCCACGCACCGAUCGUCCCCACCCCCCCGGAUGAAUAUGUGCUUCUCAAUCGAUUUCCAUUAACGGAAAGAUUUCGAAGUCCAAGCUUUUCAUAUCAAGUUUCUGUCUUCCUCAAAGUUCCUGAACUUCGAAAUGACAAAUCUGUAGCUGGGUAGCUACCUCUCCCUGACAAAGCAGUUCUUUGUCCGCUGUUCAACAGAAUUUUGCUUCCCGUUGACCAACCAGUCGAGAAUGGAUUUGCAGAAUCAUCCGUCUGGAAGCUAUACAUGGAGGAUCAACAACUACUCCUCGUUGACUCAGAAGAAGUACUACUCUGAUGUCUUCACCGUUGGCGGUUGUCAAUGGACGAUACUGAUUUUUCCCAAAGGGGUUAAGUUGGAUCAUUUCGCGAUUUACUUGGCCGUUCCGGAUGCUGCAACUUUGCCAACAGGAUGGAGCAGAGAGGCAUACUUCACCUUGACCAUGAUCAAUCAGAACGAUGGAAGCUUUUCCACCAGAAAAGAAACCGUCUACGUGUUCAAGGCACGGGAAGCUAGUUGGGGAUAUGCAUCAUUUACGUCGUCAAUGACACUGUCAUUGUCAAAGCUGAGGUCGAUGUGCUUGCUGUUGUUCCUCCGGUUGUUGUCCCUGAGGCUGCUCCUCGUCCCGUUCCUUACAUGGCCACAUCAGUCGUCAACUCUCACCAAGUCGCAGAGACAAAUAACCAACCUAAUGCAGUCCCAUCAGUUGUUGCUGUCAAUGCACGUCCAGUCAUGGAGACGAACCAUUUUGACUCUUUCUUUACCGAGCUUGAGGAGUUCAUUGUUAUCACUGAGAACAAAGAAGGAUCGAGCUCAAAUAAUGAUAGUAACAUUCAAAUGUGUGAUAUGAUGUCUGGUUCUCCAAGCUCGGAAGAGGUGGAGGAGGCUAAGCAGUCCUUGAAGGAAUGCCUCUCGGACCUCUUCAAGUUGAACAUGAAAGAUAGACUAGCCGCUGCUCUGUCGACUUUGACACGUGCCGAAGUCGGCCUCUCAUGUGAUCAGCAGAGAUCGAUCAGAGCCUUCUGGGACAACUUUGAUGAUUUCAUAUCUGAUUUCCUGAUGUUCGAGCAGGACAACUCUGAGUUUGAGCUGCAGAAGCUCACGAGAGAUCAGAUGUUCUCUGCCAUGAAGAAGAACCAUGAGGCGCACCUAUCAAACAAACAGCUAUUGGAGGCGAUCACUGAGGAGGAAGAAGAGAUCGGGAAGAGAUUGGAGGAAGUGAAUUCAAGGAAGGAGAAGCUCAUCUCGGACUGGGAGAGUCUGAUGACCAAGUCCGAGGAAAUGAAGUCCAAAUACACAUCUCAAGAGAAGAAGUUAGCAGAGGCUGAGGAGAAGAAGAGGAUCGCUGAGGAAAGGAUGUCCCGAUCCGCCGCUGCUUGGUCUUCCCUGAAGGCACAAUUCCUUGAGAUUAAAGUUCGAUCCCAAGUGACACAUCUGAGCAUCAAGAUGAGAUGUCUUUUGUUCAAAUGAGUCAGAAAGCUCUGGUUGAAAGCGAGGAAGGAACUCAAUGUUCUGAUGUUCCUUUACCUAUGGAAUAUUAAUCACCAGAUUGUUCACUUCCGAUCCUUGGAAAGACCAAAUAAGGAAGAAUUUGUUCUCGAGUUGUCGAAGCUACAUGCUACGUUGAAGUGGUGGCAGAGUGGCUCAUCAAAUCGGUUUAGAUGAUCCAACCAAAAUUCAACUAACGUCUCACAACUGCUACUCUCAACAGCCAAAGCCACGACCAAUCAAGUACGGCGGCGUGCAGACCUUGGUAGACAUGCUGGUUCAUCAUAACCAGACUUCAGUUAUCUUGUAUUAUGAAGUUUUGGGCAUACCUCUUCCAGAAUUGGAAGGCCUAAAGAAAUUGAAACUUGCUUUCCAACAUGCAAUGACUGGUCAAGGGCGUUUCUGUUCCCGGCUAUCUUCUUCUGAUGCCAUUUUAUGUUCAUCUGGUUUUGUCUUGACCUCUUUAGUAAUGGUGUAUCCCUCUAUUUUAGGUUGUGAUUCAUUAUCUUUGGCCGCUGAAACAGAGCACUGUGGGAGACGGGCUCAACAAGCUCAAAAAGAAGAUCUUAACUCUCAGUGACAAGAUUGAGAACAUAAAUGAUCAGUACAGGACUUUACGUGCAGAAGAUGUAACCUGCCUUUCUAUUCAAUCCUAGAAGAGGAGAACCUUGGCCCCUUCCACCACGCGAUUCACGCUUAUCACUUCUGAAAAAAAACUGCUAAAAACCAGAUGCAAAUAAUAUGCAACUUUGGGGAACCAUUUCUAUUGGUCAUACAUGAAGGUGAGACGUUAGCACACAUCAAGGUCCGGAUGCAAAAGAAACUGCAGGUUCCAGCUGAGGAUAUCUCACGGUGGCGCUUUGCCUUCAUGUCGCUUGUGCUUUCCCCAGUAUCUCAAUGACUCUGAAAUCCUAUGGAACCAUUUCAAGAGAAAAGAUUCUUAUGAAGCUUGGGAGCAAUGCCGCGGCUUGCAGCAUCCCGAAUGCUCCCUAGAGGUCUUAUAAAGGUCUUAUACAGAAUUUGAUGAGAUACCAGUCACUAAGGACUUUCGCAUGCUUAGUUUCUCUUCUUCGCUUUUCAUGAUUGUUGCAUGCUACGUCGGUCUUAUAUCAUCGGAUGGGAAAGAAGGAAAAGGGAAACAGUGAGUUCGGACAAACCAUUUGUACCCUUGGCCAAAUUUGCAGAACUGUGCCAGCUAAAAGCCUGCCGACAUCUAGAACAAAGGUGAAACAGACGAUUGUUGAUAUUAUCGUAAAUUUCGAUGACACUCCCUAUAAUUUGUAAAAUGGCCAGCGAUACCCCCUUUCAGAAUUAGCCACACACCACCCCUUCUUUUGCCGAUUUCUACUAUUUUUUCUUAAAUCAAGUCAGAUUUGAUUCGGAUAAAUGAAUCAGAUAACCGGUCGAUUUGUGCAGUUCCGUGACAUGGGAUCCAUGUAGCAAAGUGAAUAUUCUCUUAGUGCCACGUCAGCGAAAGUAGGGGUGGGGAGUGGCUAAUUUUUUAAAAGAGAGGUGUCACUGACUAUUUCACAAACUAUAAGGAGCGUCGUCGAAAUUUACCCUUCAUAUUAAUGUGGAUUUAUUGAGAUGCUUAUGCAAUGUUCUUUUGAAACGAAGUUGUUGGGUUCAAUCAUCUCUCGUGGGACUUAUGUGCCACUUUA